CCGUCUGGGGUCGGCAUACCCCGGGAACUGGGGAUAAUUCCGGAUAGCGCAUAUUUGCUGGAAUGCUUUAUGCGUCAAAUGGAUUCGUCUGCCCAAGGAUGGGUCUGCGGCCUAUCAGGUAGUAGUGGGUGUAAUGUACCUACUAGCCGACAACGGGUACGGGUUGUGAGAGCAAGAGCCCGGAGAUGGAUUCUGAGACAUGAAUCCAGGCCCUAUGGGGCGCAGCAGGCGCGAAAACUUUACAAUGCGGGAAACCGUGAUAAGGGGACACCGAGUGCCAGCAUCAUAUGCUGGCUGUCCAGGUGUGUAAAAUACACCUGUUAGCAAGGGCCGGGCAAGACCGGUGCCAGCCGCCGCGGUAACACCGGCGGCCCGAGUGGUGAUCGUGAUUAUUGGGUCUAAAGGGUCCGUAGCCGGUUUGGUCAGUCCUCCGGGAAAUCUGAUGGCUCAACUAUUAGGCUUUCGGGGGAUACUGCCAGACUUGGAACCGGGAGAGGUAAGAGGUACUACAGGGGUAGGAGUGAAAUCUUGUAAUCCCUGUGGGACCACCUGUGGCGAAGGCGUCUUACCAGAACGGGUUCGACGGUGAGGGACGAAAGCUGGGGGCACGAACCGGAUUAGAUACCCGGGUAGUCCCAGCCGUAAACGAUGCUCGCUAGGUGUCAGGCAUGGCGCGACCGUGUCUGGUGCCGCAGGGAAGCCGUGAAGCGAGCCACCUGGGAAGUACGGCCGCAAGGCUGAAACUUAAAGGAAUUGGCGGGGGAGCAC
rnacentral:rRNA from 1 species